AGUGAACGCUGGCGGUAUGCCUAACACAUGCAAGUCGAACGGCAGCACAGUAAGAGCUUGCUCUUACGGGUGGCGAGUGGCGGACGGGUGAGGAAUACAUCGGAAUCUACUUUUUCGUGGGGGAUAACGUAGGGAAACUUACGCUAAUACCGCAUACGACCUACGGGUGAAAGCAGGGGAUCUUCGGACCUUGCGCGAUUGAAUGAGCCGAUGUCGGAUUAGCUAGUUGGCGGGGUAAAGGCCCACCAAGGCGACGAUCCGUAGCUGGUCUGAGAGGGUGAUCAGACACACUGGAAGUGAGACACGGUCCAGACUCCUACGGGAGGACGCAGUGGGGAAUAUUGGACAAAGGGCGCGAGCCUGAUACAGCCAUACCGCGUGGGUGAGGAAGGACUUCGGGUUGUAAAGCCCUUUUGUUGGGAAAGAAAAGCAGCAGGUUAAUACCCAGCUGUUCUGACGGUACCCAAAGAAUAAGCACCGGCUAACUUCGUG
rnacentral:rRNA from 1 species